rnacentral:misc_RNA from 1 species
UGCAAGUGUCUGGGCAAUAAC